rnacentral:rRNA from 1 species
AUACGGAGGGUGCAAGCGUUACUCGGAAUCACUGGGCGUAAAGCGCGCGCAGGCGGUCUUUUAAGUUGGAUGUGAAAGCCUACGGCUCAACCGUAGAACUGCAUCCAAAACUAUUAGACUAGAGUGUGGGAGAGGAAGAUGGAAUUAGUUGUGUAGGGGUAAAAUCCGUAGAGAUAACUAGGAAUACCAAAAGCGAAGGCAAUCUUCUGGAACAGUACUGACGCUGAGGCGCGAAAGCGUGGGGAGCAAACAGGAUUAGAUACCCGAGUAGUCC